AUUGAACGCUGGCGGCAGGCCUAACACAUGCAAGUCGAGCGAGCGGCGGACGGGUGAGUAAUGUCGGGGAAACUGCCUGAUGGAGGGGGAUAACUACUGGAAACGGUAGCUAAUACCGCAUACAAUCAGAUGUGCCCAGAGGGGAAUAGAUAGUAGGUGGGGUACCGGCACACCUAGGCGACGAUCCCUAGCUGGUCGAAGAGGCUGGCCAGCCCCACUGGAACUGGGACACGGUCCUGACUCCUGCGGGAGGCAGCAGUGGGGCAUGUUGCACAAUUGGCGCAAGCCUGAUGCAGCCAUGCCGCGUGUGUGAAGAAGGCCUUCGGGUUGUAAAGCACUUUCAGCGGGGGGGCGUUACCCGCAGAAGAAGCACCGGCUAACUCCGUGCCAGCAGCCGCGGUAAUUC
rnacentral:rRNA from 1 species